AAGUCGUAACAAGGUUUCCACACCGGAGAUCCUUCCUUGAAGCCUUUUCACACAACGACUAUAUAACCAGAUGUGUGCAGUCCGUCUAAUGCCACGGGCGACGUCACCGAUGUGCUGGAACAUCCUUGGAUGAACCAGCAGCUGAAUUUCACCCGAGAUUUGGUUCACAGAUUAGAUGGUGACGGUCGGUUCAAUUAUCCUUGCGGGGUUUAGGCUAGCCGUCCCCCAAGAAGUAAACGAGCCGAUGAAGAUAUAACCGGUCGAGCAUCGAUCAGAUGCCCGAGAAACGUUCCGUAGGUGAACCUGCGGAAGGAUCAUUAUCGAGUUUGGGUCCUCUGGGCCCCCUCUCCAACCCUUGUCUAUUCUACCACGUUGCUUCGGCGGGCCCGUCCCUCACCGGACCGCCGGGGAUUCACGUCCCUGGCCCGCGCCCGUCAGUAGCCCUCCUAAAAUUCUCUGAAUCGUGACGUCUAAGCAAGCUAUAAUAACUAAAACUUUCAACAACGGAUCUCUUGGUUCUGGCAUCGAUGAAGAACGCAGCGAAAUGCGAUAAGUAAUGCGAAUUGCAGAAUUCCGUGAGUCAUCGAAUCUUUGAACGCACAUUGCGCCCUUUGGUAUUCCGAAGGGCAUGCCUGUUCGAGCGUCAUUAUCAACCCUCAAGCCCGGCUUGCUGUUGGGUCCCGCCGUCGUUUUGACGGGCGGACCCCAAAGAUAAGGCCGAGUCCCGUGGGGACCUGGAUGCAGCGAGCCUCGCGGCACGCGUCCGGGCGUCCGGCGGGCCUGGUCUUGACCACACUUCUCUGGUUGACCUCGGAUCAGGUAGGGAUACCCGCUGAACUUAAGCAUAUCAAUAAGCGGAGGAAAAGAAACCAACAGGGAUUGCCUCAGUAACGGCGAGUGAAGCGGCAACAGCUCAAAUUUGAAAUCUGGCCCCCCUCGGGGGUCCGAGUUGUAAUUUGUAGAGGAUGUUUCGGGCAAGGCGGCGGUCUAAUUCGCUAGGAACAGCGGGUCAGAGAGGGUGAGAACCCCGUCUAGGACCGCACGCCGCGUCCAUGUGAAGCUCCUUCGACGAGUCGAGUUGUUUGGGAAUGCAGCUCUAAAUGGGUGGUAAAUUUCAUUUAAAGCUAAAUAUUGGCCAGAGACCGAUAGCGCACAAGUAGAGUGAUCGAAAGAUGAAAAGCACUUUGAAAAGAGAGUUAAACAGUAUGUGAAAUUGUUGAAAGGGAAGCGCUUGCAAUCAGACUUGUGGCCGACGGUUCCCCUGGCCCUCGUGGCCGGGCUACUCCGUCGUGUCCAGGCCAACAUCGGUCUGGGUGGCCGGUCAAAGACCCCGGGAAUGUAUCUACCUCCGGGUCGACUUAUAGCCCGGGGUGGAAUGCGGCCCACCCGGACCGAGGAACGCGCUCCGGCUCGGAUGUUGGCGUAAUGGUUGCAAGCGGCC
rnacentral:rRNA from 1 species